rnacentral:rRNA from 1 species
GAUCCUGGCUCAGGAUGAACGCUGGCGGCGUGCCUAACACAUGCAAGUCGAACGGAGUUCUUAAGGAAUGCGACUUCGGUCAAAUGACUUUUGAACUUAGUGGCGGACGGGUGAGUAACGCGUGAGCAACCUGCCUUUCAGAGGGGGAUAACAUUUGGAAACAGAUGCUAAUACCGCAUAAGAUUACAGUACCGCAUGAUACAGUGAUCAAAGGAGCAAUCCGCUGAAAGAUGGG